CACAAUUCGAAAAAGUCGGGCAAAUUUCUUUCCGCCCCCCUAAUUUUUUCCACCCGGUACGCCCAUGCUAACCCUGACCCCAACGUACACUAACUCUAACCCCGAACCACUAACCCCUAACCACUGACCACUAACCCCUAACUCCUAACCCCUAAAAAUGUAACUUUUUUUUGCCUUUUUUAACUUUUUUAAUCUUUUUAAAAAAUUUUUAAACUUUUUUUUAAAAAUCUUGGUAACUCGUAAUAACCAAUUGCUUUCUGGAUAAAAUACUUGCUUGACCCUGCUUAUGACGUAACAUGCAUAUCCGCCAAAAUCCAAGAUGGCAGAAUGCUCGCUGAUUUGUGAUUUGUUGUCAAAAUAUCUCAAGAAAUAAUGUAGCUGUACGCAAAAUCGGUAAA